AUCGGUCCUCGGUAGUGGCCGCCGGAGUGUCGGUGAAACAGAGUUCAUCGCGACGUUCCGGCCGCUUCGAUCGAAGGCCGUC
rfam:Gordonia sp. QH-11, complete genome.